rnacentral:rRNA from 1 species
ACUCCUACGGGAGGCAGCAGUUAGGAAUAUUCGGCAAUGGGGGAAGCCCAUCGACCGAGCGACACUGCGUGAAGGAGGAAGGCCUUAGGGAGCUUGGUAAACUUUCUGAACGAGAGACGAUAAUGACGGUAUCUCGGUAAUAGCACCGGCUAACUCCGUGCCAGCAGCUGCGGUAAUACGGAGGGUGCGAGCGUUAAUCGGAUUUAUUGGGCGUAAAGGGCGCGUAGGCGGAUAAGAAAGUCGUGCGUGAAAUUUCGCAGCUCAACUGCGAAGCUGCGUGUGAAACUUCUUAUCUUGAGGGCAGGCGGAGAAAACAGAAUUCCAGGUGUAGCGGUGGAAUGCGUAGAUAUCUGGAGGAAUACCCGUGGUGAAGACGGUUUUCUAGCUUGUUCCUGACGCUGAGGCGCGAAAGCAAGGGGAGCGAACAGGAUUAGAUACCCUGGUAGGUCAGU